GAGAAGCAGCUGGACUCCUUGCAGGAGUUUGUGGACAAUUGGCCACUGAUUGUGUAGCAUUUCCAAUCAGUUUUGACAAGUGGUCAGACAUUCCAGCAAGCUUUUUUGAAAAUCAAUGGAAUAUUUUUUUCCUAGCUCGAUUUUGCUUCAAAGUGAGUGAUAACUUGGCCAAACGAUUUUUGCUCCAAUCGCUUGGCAAAAAAUGGAGGGAACAUAGGAUAAAGCUUUGGAAUGAUUUUUAUGAUCCGAGGUUGAGUAAAACCGAGAUCAUAAAUAAUGCACCAGAAGAUAUUGCUCCUGAUCAAUGGGCUUUAUUCGUAGAAUAUCGUUUGAAGCCUGAAACUUAGAAACUUUGUAAGAGGAAUCAAGAAAUUCGGCAAAAAACAAAUAAUUCCUCAUACUUCAGGUGCUAAAUCAAUUGCAAGAAGAAGGGAUGAAUUGAUGGAAGAGACGGGAAAAGAAGUUAAUAGGGUUCAAAUGUGGGACAUCACUCACAAGAAAAUAGAUGGAAGUUAUGUUAAUGAAAAGGCUAAAGAAAUAGUGGAGAAGAUUGAAGUACAUAGCAGCCAACAACCGAUGGAAUUAACUGUUAAUUCUCCUCUUGAUGCUCUUGGAGUAGUUUUUGGGAAAGAGCACCCUGGUCGUGUUCGAGGUUUAGGUAUGGGAGCUGUUCCAACAAUUGCUUUCAAGAACAAUACUACAAGGAUUAGUCAAAUGAAUUUAGGUUCUUCAAAUGAUGCUGGCACAUCAUCUACUUGUGGUCCAAAUGUGCAAGAAGAGUUGGAUACCGUUAAAGCGCAAUUGCAAGCGCUAGUCUCUUAUAUAGCUUCUAAGGAAGGAG